UACGUAGGGGGCAAGCGUUGUCCGGAUUUAUUGGGCGUAAAGAGCGUGUAGGCGGCCAGGUAGGUCCGUUGUGAAAACUGGAGGCUUAACCUCCAGCUGUCGAUGGAAACCAUCUGGCUAGAGUCCGGAAGAGGAGAGUGGAAUUCCUGGUGUAGCGGUGAAAUGCGCAGAUAUCAGGAAGAACACCCGUGGCGAAGGCGGCUCUCUGGGACGGUACUGACGCUGAGACGCGAAAGCGUGGGGGAGCGAACAGG
rnacentral:rRNA from 1 species